UUUAUUCGUAGGUUUAGACAGCUAAAAACAAAUUACGAAUAUACUCGUACUACUUGUAUUUGACGGUUGAAUGCCAAGACGUCAUGUCACAAUUUGACGUUUAAAAACAAAAUAAGGUUACUUGACAGGCUUAGGUGUGUAAGACAGUAUGAAAUUCCUUUACAUAAUUAUCAUCUUCACUGAUCGCACCGGAUACGUAGUAUUUCCGGACCUAAUUUGAAGUAAUUCAUGUCAAUAUUUCAUUGCAAGUUUGAGAAAAUUAUAUUAUUUUAUCUUUACCCAUCAAAGACCAAGGUGUUCCGAACGUUAGGGAAGCAAGCGCGGAACCGAAGCCAACUCGUAGAGUCCCUUUACCUACGUCGGUGGCAAACAAACGUACGGCCCGCCUGAUGGAUGUUUAGUUUAAUGGAAUGUAAGAUCCCAGCUGACUACACAGUAAUAAUUGUCGGUCGUCGAAAUAGAGAGUGGGAAAGCAGGCCUCAAAUGCUCGGCUGUUUGCAACUACAGCAAUGGUCAAUCCUGCGAGAAUAUACAGGACUGGAGAUGUGUGCCGACAUUGAAAAACCAUUCAUUGAUAAUCCACCAUCAAGUGACAAUUUCGACCGGCCUGAUCAGGUUGAUGAAGAAAUGCUACCACACACGCUGGCCCCAAAAGGAGUGCUGUGGAUCCAAAGGACAAGCCUAGUCCAUCAAAGACAUACAAGAGAUACGAGUUAUAACAAUUUCCCUCGCUGUACUGUAUAUUAUACACACCAGAGUUGGGCAAAAAGUAAUUGCAUUACGAAUUAUGAAUUGCAAUUACAAAAUGUAAUUUGAAUUAUGAAUAUUCUUCAAAUUUUAUUCAUUUUUAAUUAUCAUUUAAAUAAUAACAAACUUAGAAUAAAAUGUAACCUAAUAUUAAAACUACCUACAAAACUAAAAUUAACACCUAAAAAAACCAUAACAUGAGUGACCUAGCCCAAUAUGUUUAUAUUAAGCUAGAUCACCCAGGUCACGAAUUGAAAUUACGGAAAUGUAAUUUCUAAUUGCAUUAAAAUUUCACUGCAUUACAAAAUGUAAUUCGCAAUGCAAUUAGAAAUUACAUUUUAUGAUUUUAGUUCGUAAUGCAUUACUUCAAGCAUUACAAAUUACACUCACUUAGUAAAAUAUUUUCAUUGUUUUUAUAUAGCAUGGUAUACUUGUUUGUGGGUUAGUGUUUUAAUUUAAUAUGUUAAGGCCAAAUUUUGCAACUUUAAGGAACUUAUCCUCAAAAUUUUCAACAUUUUUUUUUACAUACUUGUAUUAGCUUUUUAGUACGUGUUUUAGUUCUUACAUUCAACUUUGGACGCUAUUUGUGUCAGUCCAAAACAAAAGGGACCUUAUGGCGGUAUUUUUAGGUGGGUUGAUUGUUAUAUUAAUAGUUAGGUAUAUGUUUCUAGAUUUAUAUCCCUUAGAUAACUCAAUUUCCGCCACAAGGUUCCUUUUGUUUAGGACUGACACAUAUAUGUACACUUUUGCAGUAGACUGUACCUACCGGAUAUAAUUAUAAUACCGUUCGAAGAAUUACACUUAAACUUUUUAAAAUCAUAUUACUAAGUAAAUAACAGACUAAAAAAAUACUUGUAUCUAAGUGCUUCCUUUAAAUGCUUAUUAGUAAUUUAAAUUGUAUUUUGGUAAAUGUUUAUCCAAUAAAUGUUUUAAACUAGA